rnacentral:misc_RNA from 1 species
CGAAGGUAAGCAUAUCAGUCCAUCAACCGCGCUGCCCGACAGAAGCUUGCGCAACAGAACAAGCACGACGGCAAAACGGCAGACCGAAGGAAAGGCACCAUCAGACGCAUAACCCGGCAAAAACAAAAUGAGCAUCCGCGAAAAGACGGUGUAUAAUGCGCUGCCCAAGCUUCCAGGCUUCUCAUUCGCAGAGCUGCAACACCCCGCAACGCAUGGAAGACGACAGUACUGCACCAUCGACGAUGAAGGCACACGGACCGUGAAGGAUGCAGCGGCCCUCGACGGCUCCGCUGUAGCCGCCGGCUCGGCGCCGGAGGGGUGUGGCAUCCCGGUGCGCAUCAUUCUCCAGCGCUUUCCGUCGUGGCGAACCGUAGACGACAAGGUGCUGCGCUUUUUCGCCUAUUACACGGAGAACGUGGUGGGAAGCAGAAUUGAGACAUGGCGAGUGCGCAAGGUGAAGCUGCACUACUUUCUCGCUGACGGAUCUCUGAGCAUCGUGGAGACACCGGCAGUGGCAAACAGCGGCCUGCAGAAGGGCACUAUGGUGUCGCGCUUCAGACCAGACGGGGUGGACGUCUUCCGGCUCUGCAUCGGCGCCUCCAUUAAGUGCCGUGGGUUGGAGUACAACCUCGUAGACUGCGACGCCUUUACGCGCGAUUUUUUCGAGGUGAUGGGGAUGCCACAGCCCGAGCCGCUCGAGUACCCUCGUGACGAGUUCGAGACGAGCGCCACGCGCCGCCCUGGCAGGAUAGAUGAGCAGCACAUCGAAAUGCGGCGCGUGGUUGAGAUGCAGGCGGCAACGCGUGCGGGCACUCAUGCCAGCCUUCUCACACCUGCAGAGCGGGCAAAGGCGCGCGACUUCUACGAAUACGACCGCAACGUGCUGUGCUUCUACGCUGUCUGGGAAAAGAGGAAGUUCCGCAUCUACUUCUACCUGGCGGAUGGUAGCAUUGCCGUGCUUUUCGACAAGGCGGAGAACGACGGCCGCGACCCGUACCCGGUCUUUGUGCGCCGCCGCCGCAUCCCGAAGGAGGCGCGCGCGGUGCUGCUCUCCUCCGAAACGCUCAACCACCCGCAGGGUCCACCACCGGCGUGCGUGGGCGCGGAGGAUCUGCGCACCGGUACAACGGUGGACAUCUUCACGCGACCCUUCUUCAUCUACGACUGCGACGAGCACACACGGGCGUACAUGGAGGCGCGAGGCAUCCCUGAGCCAGCCGUCACCACGCCACUGUGCGAAGAAGACGAAAUCACGGUAGGCAAGCGCCGACCACGGCUGGCCAAGGAUGCACGCGAUGCCGCCGGCGACUCUGGCAAGCGCUUCGGCGCGUCGACAAUGGUCUUCAGAGACUCUGCUGGGGAGAAAGAUGCGUUGAAGCUAACCCGCUACGCGCAAGAUGUCUUCCGCUUUGGUGCCGAGAUGGUGAACCCGUCGGAAGAGAAUGAGGGGCGUCAGUUCAUCGUGUGCUACUACCUCGCUGACGACACCGUGUCCGUCUUCGAGCUGCAGGUGCCGAAUAGCGGCCACGUUGGUGGGAAGAUUUUUGCGCGCCGUGCGGUGGAAAACCUGCAGAACCCCGCGCGGCUCAAGGUGGGCAACAUCAUUCGCCUGGAUGGCGUCGACUACCUGCUCAAGGAGAUGGAUGAGCGCACGAAGAGGUACCUCGAGAUGGGAAUGCCUAACAUGGAGGAGUCCUAUUUUCGCACCCAGGAAAUUCUCGGCAUAGUGGCUUCGUACCUACAGCAGCAGUUUUCCCGCAUAUCCGACGCCUUUCGUCACUACGCCUCAUCGUCGACGCAAGGGCUGACGCGAGAGAACGUGCGCGAGGUGCUGAGUGACGCCGGCGUACACGCGACGGAUGCAGAGCUGGCCAACGUGAUGGAGCGCGCCGACGGCGACAAGGAUGGUUGGGUGUCGCUGGCUGAUUUCACGGAGCAGUUCAUGCAACAGCUGUUUAUCUCGAACUUCAAGCCACGCGAGUCGCAGAAGAGAUGGGGUGACACCCGCAACGGCGUGGUGGUGCAGCGGGGGCCGGUGCAGAGCGCAAUGAUGCUGGCGAAGAAGGUCAACGCCGAGGCGCAGGCGGAAGCUGCCCUGCAGCGCUUCCUUACACUCAUCGAGGCACGCCGCACACUCGCCAUCCGCUCCUUUCGCAGCGCCUCCGAGUCAGCGUAUGACGGUAACUUGGGCAUGUCCGAGUUCCAGGAUUGUGUAAAGGAUCGCCUUAAGACGCCCAUGACGGAUGACGAGAUCGGGGCGCUGCUCUACCGGUUCUAUCACACUCCAGGGCUGAACGACUGGACGGCGAGGCGGCUUCCACUGCAAGAAAUCCGGCGUAUUCUCUUCCUGUGAGGGACGGCGAGACGCGCCGAUCGAAGUGUAUGCGCUAGUCUGGUGAGUGGGUGCCGCUGCCGGAUGUACACUAACGUGACUGCUUGUUUUUCUUAGUGCACGGUUCCUUAGUUUUGCUUUUCCAUCGAGAAUCCCUUCUAUUUCUUGCCUCUCUCUGUGCUUGCACGUGAGUUGCGGGGUAGUGGCGCCGCUUUACAACUGUGCCACGCUGCUUGCAGGGCCUGUGCCGUGGAUCGGUUCGCGCAACGGUCACCUUGUCCAGUGUGUGUCUCUAUCCUCCCCCCCCCACAGAGGGGGAGCGGCAGAUCUCUUGGGGUCAAUAUCUGUGUGUUUGCAUGUCUAUUAGAAUUCUUUUCUUCUGUGAAG